CUCAGCUGGGUGACCCCGGACUGGUGACAACCUCUUGGAGCCCGCGUUCCCACGUGCGCGGUGCCGGGAGAAAAUAAGCCCCCCUCUCAGAGGGCUGUGCACGAACCAGUGUUGCCCCUCCUGGACCCUUCCCAGAGCCUUGUUCCCGGGUCACCAACGCGCCGCCACUCGGUUGCGCCAAAGCACUUAAGCCUCAGCCGACAUUUCUUUUCCCAGUUCCAGCCCCGGGCAAAUGCCUUCUAGACUUUUAGGCCUAGCCCUUGUGCCCGCUUUGGGCACCUCCAGCCCUGGUCCCCUCACAGACAGAGCCGAGCGCAGGGGAAGCUCCAGGCACCCCCGGGUCCAGGGCUGCGAGGUUACCUCGGGGCGGGGAUGACCCUUCUCUGGGCCUCAGUUUCCCGAGAGAAGAAUCGUACGUAGGAGUUUUAAAGCUGCGAGUUGCCUCCUCGCGAUCUACGGGGGACCUGCGCCCUCUCCUGGCAGCGAGAUGCACUGCCGCCCGAAGCCAUGCCUACCUCGGCCAUCCCUUUGAGUCUGGCUCAGGCCACGCUGGGACGCCCCCCCCUCCAAAACGCACCCCAAAGGCCUCCGCACCCCCAGUGGGAGACGGCCAUAACCAGACGGGGUCAGCCCGCGAUAGUGGUGAGAGCAGGCCCAAAGGGUGGGGCAGAGGCUGUCCCCUCAGUGAUCAGUCUGGGGUCUGCUUAGAGGAGGAGGCUCUGGGGCUGAAAGAAGGGGUUGGAACCUUCUGUCACCGCCAAGUGGAGCCAAGAGAGGACAGGAGACCAUAAGCCAGGAAGAGGUGGAGGAUGAGGUGACUCUGGCAGGACAGGAAGGCUCAUAGUGAGCAAGUGGCAGCUGCUGCUCCAUUUUAUUGGUGGGACAUUCACCCACCGACCCAGAGAUGGGCAGGGUCAGACAGCAGAUGAGGAAAGCUUCACCUCUCCAGUGAGUGAAGAAGCCACCUAGACCCCACCAGCCCAGACCGGCCCAGGGAGCCAUCCCACCUGGCCCACCUUGCUCACCUUGGCCAGCUCUGCGAGUGUGUUGGCCUGGUCGUUCAGCUUUCCCUGCUCAAUCUUCACACUCCGGAGCCUGGGGACAGUUAAACUGGCCAGGAAAAUGGUUCCAGGUAAGACUCUCUUCUUCACUGGUUCAAACUCAGCCCGUGUGCCCACAUGCGAUGGAUGCAUGGGGAGGCCCCUCGGGGCCCACCAUGCUGAAUACUGCCGGGGCCCCCAAGACCCAGCCCUCAGUCUGGAGAAACGGAGGUAGAGUCUGUACACAGACACGCACAGAUGGAGGACAAUAUGAAGACGCAGGAAGAACAGCACAUGAAAAUGACCACUGGAGCGAUGCAUCUGUCAGCUAAGAGCGCCGGAUGCUGCCAGAAGCCAGGAGAGAGCCCUGGAACAGAUCCUCCCUGGCACCUUCAGAGGGAACACGGCCCUGCUGACACCUGGAUUUUGGUCUUCUGGCCUCCAGGACAGUGAUCAUAAAUUCUGCCGCUUCAAACCACCCACUUAUUACAGCCAAGGAGACACGCACACUCCCCACUCCAUCUUCUCCGAGACCACCUCUUCCUUUCCUCUGGCUUUGCACACAGCGCUCCCUUCGGGGGCCUCUCCAGCUCAAGGACGUGCCCCGGCUGCCUCCUGUGUGCAGAGCAGACCUCGUUUCCCUGGCGUGUGCUUGAGCCCACCGCCUUGCCUUCCUCAAGCUGUGGGCACUCCUUGGUAUGCAGCCUGCCUCUCAGUUUCCGACUCAGAUCUUAUCCACCCUCAGGCCCUAGUGCACACUUGCUUGACUUCAUCAUCUGUUCUUACAGGGCUACUGUUUUUGGUGGGGGGUGGGGGUGCAGGGGGAUCUAAAGGUGAGUGCAACAGUCCUGCCCCAGAACAGAUGGUCACAGAUCAUUCACAGAGCAGGUGCCUUCUCCCCAGACCUGGCUCUCCUCAGUUCUCAUACCCCUGCUUUCCCCAAAGAACUUUCUGGAACAUCCCAUAGGGCAAGAUCCAGUGUCUAGUGUCCCCUACACCGGCUGGUGCAGGAAAUGCUUGUGGAAUGACAAAACGACCAGAUCGAGGGCGGAAGUAACCACAACUCCAGUUCCUAUAUUUAGAAAACACUGUGUGGCAGUCAGGCCCAGGUGAGUCAUCGGUCAUCCGGACUGUGUUCGAUCUGCAUCACACUCCUGGGAGAGAGGCACAUCACCAUCAUCUCCGCUUUACACAUAAGAUACUUGGAGUAGUGUAGUCACCGGUCCAGGCCCCACUGUUCGGUGGGAGAGACCGAUUGGGAACCAGUGGUCAGCUAACAACUAUGGGAGAGUCAGCAAGGAGAGGUCCCUGUCCUCAAGGGUCUCAAAGUCUUGUGAGGAGGCAGGACUAACACCUGGGCACAGUGAAGUCAAUGGGAUACCAGCUCCUCUCCCGGGUGGUUCAGAUGGUGGUGGAAGCAGAGGCAGAGAGCAGGGGCUGGGGGUGAGGUGGACGCUCUGUGCUACCAAGAGGUUGCUCUGUGCUGGGGACCCUGCCAGGCAUUUCUGCGAAUCAUCUCAUUAGACCUCCCGAAGUCCUGGGGAGUGGGGAUUAUCAUCACUAGGAAGCAACCCAAUUAUAACAGCAAACACA